rnacentral:rRNA from 1 species
AUUGAACGCUGGCGGCAGGCCUAACACAUGCAAGUCGGGCGAGCGGCGGACGGGUGAGUGAUGUAUGGGGAUCUGCCUGAUGGAGGGGGAUAACUACUGGAAACGGUAGCUAAUACCGCAUACCAUCAGAUGUACACAUAUUGGUUUAGAUAGUAGGUGGGGUAAUGGCUCACCUAGGCGACGAUCCCUAGCUGGUCUGAGAGGAUUACCAGCCACACUGAAACUGAGACACGGUCCAGAUACCAACGGGAGGCAGCAGUGGGAAAUAUUGGACAAUGGGCGCAAGCCUGAUGCAGCCAUGCCGCGUGUGUGAAGAAGGCAUUCGGGUUGUAAAGCACUUUCAGCGAGGAGGCGUUACUCGCAGAAGAAGCACCGGCUAACUCCGUGCCAGCAGCCGCGGUAAUUC